rnacentral:rRNA from 1 species
UACAGAGGGUGCAAGCGUUAAUCGGAUUUACUGGGCGUAAAGCGCGCGUAGGUGGCCAAUUAAGUCAAAUGUGAAAUCCCCGAGCUUAACUUGGGAAUUGCAUUCGAUACUGGUUGGCUAGAGUAUGGGAGAGGAUGGUAGAAUUCCAGGUGUAGCGGUGAAAUGCGUAGAGAUCUGGAGGAAUACCGAUGGCGAAGGCAGCCAUCUGGCCUAAUACUGACACUGGGGUGCGAAAGCAUGGGGAGCAAACAGG